AGCUUUGCACAGUGGCAAUAUCAUAACCAAUGAAGUUUAUCCAAGGCAUGAUUAUUGCUAAUUGUGUAUUUUUAAAUGGUGCACAUACC
rnacentral:snRNA from 1 species